GAUGAACGCUGGCGGCGUGCCUAAUACAUGCAAGUCGAGCGAAUUGACAGAGGUGCUUGCACCUCUCGAUUUUAGCGGCGGACGGGUGAGUAACACGUGGGUAACCUACCUAUAAGACUGGGAUAACUUCGGGAAACCGGAGCUAAUACCGGAUAAUAUUUAGCUUCGCAUGAAGCAAUAGUGAAAGACGGUUCUGCUGUCACUUAUAGAUGGACCUGCGGUGUAUUAGCUAGUUGGUGAGGUAACGGCUCACCAAGGCAGCGAUACAUAGCCGACCUGAGAGGGUGAGCGGCCACACUGGGACUGAGACACGGCCCAGACUCCUACGGGAGGCAGCAGUAGGGAAUCUUCCGCAAUGGACGAAAGUCUGACGGAGCAACGCCGCGUGAGUGAAGAAGGUUUUCGGAUCGUAAAACUCUGUUGUAAGGGAAGAACAAGUACGUUAGUAACUGAACGUACCUUGACGGUACCUUACCAGAAAGCCACGGCUAACUACGUGCCAGCCGCCGCCGUAACAC
rnacentral:rRNA from 1 species